GACGAACGCUGGCGGCGUGCUUAACACACGCAAGUCGUACGACAGCAUUUCCUUUUAGGUUGUGUUUGGAGUGGCGAACGGGUGAGUAACACGUGAGUGACCUGCCCUUCACUUUGGGAUAACGUGCGGAAACGUGCGCUAAUACCAAAUAUUCGCAUUUCUGCUGCAUGGUGGGGUGUGGAAAGGGGCCUUCGGGUUCGUGGUGGGGGAGUGGGCGUCGCGGCCUAUCAGCNGUGUUGGUGGGGUGGAUGGCCUACCAAGGCGUGGACGGGUAGCCGGCCUGAGAGGGUGUUCGGUCGACACUGGGACUGAGAUACGGCCCAGACUCCUACGGAGGCAGCAGUGGGGGAGUUUUGUCACAAUGGACGAAAGUCUGAUGCAGUGACGCCGCGUGGGGGAUGACGGCCUCGG
rnacentral:rRNA from 1 species